rnacentral:misc_RNA from 1 species
UCUCCGUAGGUGAACCUGCGGAGGGAUCAUUACAGAGUUCUCGCCCUCGCGGGUAGAUCUCCCACCCACUGUGAUUGCUACCGUGUUGCUUUGGCGGGCCGCCGGGCCCAGCCCAGCCGCCGGCCCCGGCCGGCGCGUGCCCGCCAGAAGCCCCGCAAACUCUGAAUGUCAGCGUCGUCUGAGUGCUAUGUAAUAGUUAAAACUUUCAACAACGGAUCUCUUGGUUCUG